rnacentral:rRNA from 1 species
UACGGAGGGUGCAAGCGUUAUCCGGAUUCACUGGGUUUAAAGGGUGCGUAGGAGGGCAGGUAAGUCAGUGGUGAAAUCUCCAAGCUUAACUUGGAAACUGCCGUUGAUACUAUCUGUCUUGAAUACCGUGGAGGUGAGCGGAAUAUGUCAUGUAGCAGUGAAAUGCUUAGAUAUGACAUAGAACACCAAUUGCGAAGGCAGCUCGCUACACGAAUAUUGACUCUGAGGCACGAAAGCGUGGGGAUCAAACAGG